rnacentral:lncRNA from 1 species
CAGACAAAACCAUAGUAAAUCUGUGGCUUAGAAAAGUUACUUAAAUCCUUGCCUUUGGUGAUAAAAUACUUUUGAUUGUUACAACCUGCCAGAAUGAUGGGUUUUAGAAGUGUUGGAGACAACCAUAGCAACUAUUUCUUGUGUGGAUGAAGAAAUUGAAGGCCAGUUACUUGCUUAAGAACUCAAGGUAAAGCCAGGUCCAGUUUCUCCCGCUGUAAUAACUUCUUAUGAGGUAAUUAUAUUGAUCUGUCCACUAGAUAGGACUUCUUAUGGCUGAAUCACAUUCAUCAGUUUUUUAUAUGUGAUGUUAUAUUUCAUUCAUCACACAGGAGUUUGAUGUUUCAGCUGGACAGAAAUCUGCCUGCAUGCAGACCUAAUCUGUCCUUUGCCUUAUUCACAUAGCUUAGGACUUUUCUAAAAUUAAGUAUUGAUUAGCUUCCCCAUUGCUGCUAAAAUCAACAGAUACAUUGAUGGCAUGUGUCUAGAAGAGUCCUUUCAUCAAGACUUGAAUUCUUCACGGUGCACAGGGGCAUUCUUGUUUCUGAAUUGCCAGACUCUUAGAGGAGGCAUCCAGGAGCACCUGAGGGCUCUCCAUAGGCCUGGCUUCAGGUUGGGGUGAGCUCUCACUUUUUCCUCAUCUUGCUCUCCAUUCCAGCCCUCUGGACUGGCUACAUUUGCUCUUCCUGCCUCUCACAUGCUGUUCCACCCACUGUGGCAUUCCUCACCACUGUCUCCCACCUGAUGGCAUGGCCUGCUGCUCUUUGUUCUUGUAGCUACCUUUUUCAGGAAGCUUUCUCUGCCAUCCGAAGCUGGGCUGGUUUCUCUGCCCUCCGAAGCUGGGCUGGUUGUUCAUCCCUGCAGGUUUCCUUAGCACUUGGUACCUAUCCCUGUAGUGGCACAUGUUUGCAUUGUUACUGCAUAUUUACUUGCUUUUUCUCCUCCACUAAAUUGCAUUCCUUGAGAGUUGGCAUGUGUUGCAUAUGUGUGUAGAGAAGAGGCAUUUAAUAUUGGUUGAAUUUCUGACUGAACAAGUAGGUGAAGAAAUGGAGAGGUUGGGGGAGGAAUGGAUAAAUGUCUGGGCCUUGAGUCAGCAGGCAGGGACACUUUGACCAGCUUAUGAGAUGGGGAGACUUAGGCAAGGGCCUGAGGUCUGUCGUCCUCCCCUGCAACCCAUGAGCCCUAUAGCAUUGACCCCCGUUCGCUGUGCUCCUGGAUCUUCGCGAUGGUUUUGUGUUGGCAGGGAAUUAUAGUGAAAAGAAACUGCCCAGUCAUUUGACAGCAAGUAAACAAUGGGUCAAGGAUUCAACUUGUAUAAUGUAGACACAAGUUUCUUUAAUACUUGAACCUAAUGAAUUUUUUUUUUUCCCCAAACAGAGGAACUUAUUCAGGGACCAUUCAUGCAGCUUUAAUUUCUUCACUUACUUUGGAAUAUGAGUGAAGGAGAAAUGUUUCACUUGCAAAAGAGGGAUUUUACUUAUUCCCAGAGACUGCAAGAUUCCCUUUGCUUUAUCAAAUAGUGUGUUUUAGCUGCAGUUUUGGGUUUUGGUUUUGAUAUUAAAAGCCAUAAGUGAAUUUUGAUUUUAGCCCUAUAAACCAGUUUUUGAGUGAAUAUAAUUCAGUUAAGCCAGUUUUUAAUGAGAAAGAAUGUAGUUAAUAGAUCUGUAUAGCAAAUUCCCACUAUAAAAUAUGCUUCUAUGUUAGACAUUUGUCUAUGCCACAGGUAAAAUAAUAUUUCCUGUUCUGUUAGCAUAGCAAGUGUGAGGGCAGCUUAUCCUUGUUGCCUCCCAUCAGUGCGGGGACCAGGGGUCCACUGUUGUUACUGUUCAUGUAUCCCAGCAGGGGGACAGUCAGCACACAGCCAGUCCCCAGGGAGAAGAGGGUGUGAGGCAGACAAAGAGUCCUCUGAACUAGAGGAGAGGCCUAUCCUUUGGCCUUGACAUCCUCCAACCUUUGUCCCCUCCUUUCUGUUUCUCAAACUUGUAUCUAAACUGACUGCUCUUUGGGUGUGGGUGUAGGGGAGAUAUGUUGAAUAGUAAGAGUUUCUGCAUAAAGAAGAUUGAGAAACUAUUUGUCUAAAUGUGUGGUUUUUCUUAAGUCCCAACAAUUUACAGCUAUAAUCUUCUAACCCAGUUAGUAUACCUCCUUUCUGUUUGGUUUCCUAAAUUGUAUUGUAAAUUUAAUAUUCCCAAAUUUCUUGUCUUUAGCAAUUUUUGUGUGUAGUUUUAAAGAUGUAUAGACAUGUAGACAUUCAGACACUUAACCUCACAGCAAACAAGUUGAAUCCAUAUCUAACCAUAUAUAAGUGAUGGCAGUGAAAUCAGUCCUGGAACCACUGAAGUCCCAUGGGACCCCAGGCCCAGAGUUUGCAGUGUGACAUUUUACUAUUGGAAGAGAGAUCCAGAGUCGCCAAGGCAGCAGAUUGAGCAGAACUCCAUGGUUAUUGUGAGGCACACAGCCUUCUGCUGCACAUUCUGAUCUCACAGUUACCAGAGGUGCAAAUGGAGAUGGGUAUACAGUAGUCCCCUUAUCCGCAAUUUUGCUGUCUGAGGCUUCAGUUACCUUCAGUUACCUUCAGUCAAAUAUGGUCUGAAAAUAUUAAAUGGAAAAAUUCCAGAAAUAAACAAUUCAUAAGUUUUCUGUUGCAUGCCAUUCUGAGCAGCAGGAUGAAAUCUCUCACUGUCCCGCUCCUUCCUCCCCAGGACAUGAGUCCUCCCUUUGCCCAGUGUCUCCACACUGUAGACAUUCCCACUCAUUAGUCACUUUCAUAGCCACCUUGGUGAUCAGGUUUACUGUCACAGUGUCACAGUGCUUGUGUUCCAGUAACCCUUAUUUAAUUAAUAAUGGUCCCAAAACACAAAGGUACUGAGCCUAAUGUAUAAGUUAAACUUUAUCAUAGGUAUGUAUGUACAGGAAAAAAAUAGUAAGUAUAGGGUUUGGUACUAUCUGCAGUUUCAGGCAUCCACUGGGGGUCUUGGAAUGUAUCCUCUGAGAAUAAGGGGGAACCACUGUAUAGUUAACACCUAGUAAUAUGAGGAAGUGCAUUUCAGAAGAAAGAGGAGGGCUGGGCACGGUGGCUCAUGCCUGUAAUCCCAGCACUUUGGGAGGCUGAGGCGGGUGGAUCACCUGAGGUCAGGAGUUCGAGACUAGCCUGGCCAACAUGGCAAAACCCUGUCUCUACUAAAAAUACAAAAAUUAGCUGGGCAUGGUGGUGCGUGCCUAUAAUCCCAGCUACUCAGGAGGCUGAGGCAGGAGAAUCGCUUGAACCCGGGAGAUGGAGAAUGCAGUGAGCUGAGGCUGAACUCCAGCCUGGGCAACAGAGCAGAACUCCCUCUCAAAAAAAAAAAAAAAAAAAAAAAAAAAAAAGGACUUGUGGAAGGUAAAGGAACAAGAGAUGUGUUAUCAGGUUAUUUAAACAUAAACCUAUAUAAUAGUGUGUGUGGUUGAGGAUUUUAGUACACAGCCAUUUGUAUAGUAAAAGUAAACAUGUAUCUAUAAGGUUGAGGGUUGUUGGUUUAAGACAAGUUACUUAGGAUUUUUUAUUAUAUCUGCCAUUAUUCUUAACUAAAUUAUGAAAGGUAAUCAGAGGUGACUGUCAGGCAUGAUUCUGAGAGCCUCACAUGCUUGAGCUAACUUAACCUUCAUGCUGACUGCAAAGUAUGUAGUUUACAUGGUGUGACCCAGAAAUAUUUACUCAUGACUCUCAGAUUGUAUGUUCUUUCUGUAUUUUGCAUUAUAAUAUUAUACUUCGUUUUAGUAAUUUUUGUUGAAGUUGGCCCUACUUAAUAGAGAAUCAUCAUAAAUGGUAAUUUGACUUAUAGCAAACAAUCUCCUGAGGGAAU